AAUCUCUACGGGACGCAGCAGUGGGGAAUAUUGGGCAAUGGGCGCAAGCCUGACCCAGCAACGCCGCGUGAAGGAAGAAGGCUUUCGGGUUGUAAACUUCUUUUAAGAGGGAAGAGCAGAAGACGGUACCUCUUGAAUAAGCCACGGCUAACUCCGUGCCAGCAGCCGCGGUAAUACGGAGGAUGCGAGCGUUAUCCGGAUUUAUUGGGUUUAAAGGGUGCGUAGGCGGAUUUUUAAGUCAGCGGUAAAAUGUCCGGGCUCAACCCGGGCCGGCCGUUGAAACUGGGGAUCUUGAGUGGGCGAGA
rnacentral:rRNA from 1 species